rnacentral:lncRNA from 1 species
AUAACCACAAUUAGAAUCAAAUAACACAAGUACUCCCCGUUAAUCAAGGGAUUACUUCUCAAACGGAUACUAAUAGGGUUAAUUAAAGAAAGAAAUCAGUUGAAAUAUAUUGAUUAUUUCCAUAUAGGGGCAGUAAAAGUAUAAGGUAGAUAAUUGAGUCUAAGUACAAAAUAUGCUUAAAUUUUGAGAAAGGGUUCAAGGUAAAACAUCACAAUAAUUAAAGGACCGAAUCAAUCAAUUUAAACAAAUGAGUAAAUUUAGGGUUCAUAGGAAAAACCUUUUGCAAUCAGUCGCAACAUUGAGAGAGUUGGAGUAUGCUUAAAUUUUGGGAAAGGGUUCAAGGUAAAACAUCACCAUAAUUAAAGAACGGAAUCAAGUAAUUUAAAUAAACAAGUAAAUUUAGGGUUCACACGAAAAACCUUUUGCAAUUAGUCGCAACAUUGAGGGAUUUGGAAUCAAUCAAGAAAGGGUCGAUUCUACACCUCAACAUAUAAAUAGCAAGAAAUGAACAUGCAUGCAGGGUCAAACAUGUUGACUAAAAGAAGUAAUACAAACAUAUAGUAGCAGCAGGGUUAAGCUAGGAUUUCGUAGUAUAAGAAACCUAUUCAAAGCACAGUAGUCAAACAGUCACAUAGAACCAAAGUGUACAGAACCAAACUAACAGGUAAGAAAGUCAGAAAUGAGUAAAGACCUUCAAACACAUAGUAAUAAGUAAGGAAAACCCUUUUAAAAAAAUUAGGGCUUCAACACUAGUCGAGUUUAAAAAAAUGGUAAGAACUCAGAAUCAGAUAAGUCAAACAAGGACAAAGAACUUACUCGAACAAGUAUACACCAAACAAAUAAGGACAAUUUUAGAAAUCGGAUAAGACAAAAAAAGUCCUAGUGUUUUCAACAUGUUGAAUCAAGUAAGAGAUAAAACAUGAAUACAUCGUUUGAACAUAGUAAAAAUCAUGGAACAACACCAAAAGAUCAGAAAAGAGAUCUUUUAAAAGAGAUUAAGAGAAACCCUAGUCGUUGAAGACGAAGAGUUGUUUUUUAAUAAGGGGAAACUUUUAAGAAAAACACUUGAGAGGUUCAUAACAUAAACAGAUCUAAGGUAGAUAUGAAAGAAAAUUAAAAGCUCUUAAAGGUUAGAGUAUCAGAGAAUCCUGAAAAGGUGAGAAAGACCUUGAAAAGUUAGCGACCUAGCCAGAAAAUUCAAGGAUCUGACUUGAACAGCCGUGGAUGGAUUGGAAAAGACCAGAGAAAGAGGUUGAGCAAGGUUUGGAAAAGUUUUUUUAAAAUCUGUCUAUGAAAUCACAUGAACGGGCUACCAGAAGCUAUAUGAGGUUGGUAUACAUAUCAAACAUCCAUGAGAGUCACUGGAUUAGGUGGGGAUUGAUGUGAAUUAAGGUGAAAUUGCGCGGAGGCGGCUAGGGUUUAUGUGAGGCUGCAGAGAGAAUUGAGAGGAAAUGGAUUCAAGGGCGGCGGGUG